CUGUGGGGCGCUUGAGGUGGGCAGUGCUGUGUUGGACUGUGAGGGGAACUUGGUAGAUCGUUGAGGGUUGUGGUGGGUCUCUGGGGGCUGUGGUGGGUUAUUAGGAGCUGUAGGGCUUGGGGUGGGGUGUAAUUUGUAGCUGCGGGGUUGUGUGGGUGCUGUGGUGGUCUAUAGGGUGUGGCUUUGUGGGGGGCUACAGUGGGCUUGUGGAGCUUUGAGGGGCGUGUGGGCUCUGAGGUGUAAUUUGGGGCUUUAAAGGUGUGUUUUGGGUGCCCCAUUGGUCCGUAGUGAGCUGCAGGAGGACGCCCUGUGGGGCUGUAGGGGAGCGUUGGGGCUGUAGGACCUGAAGUGGGAUGUAAUUUGGGGUCGUAGUGGUGUGGGGCUGUAGUGGGCUACGAGUGUAAAGGGCUGCCCUGUGGGGCUGCAGCAGUGGACACCGUGGAGCUCGGGGUAGGACGUAGUUUGUGUCUGCAAGGCUGUAUGGGGGCUGUGGGAUCCAUCCCAUGGGGCUGUAGGGGGAUGCCCUGAGGGGCUGCAGUGGGUUGUAGGGUCAAGGGGAUGCUCCAUGAGCUGCGUGGGGGAGGGGCUGUAGCAAAACCCCAGCAUGAUGUGACCUCGUCCAGCUCCUGCGCUGAUCCCUGUUGAAAGCAAGUGAGAAUGCUGCAACAAAAUCUGGCUGCGGAUGAAACAUUCUUGCAGCAGCCUUGGAGGCUGAAUGUCAGCUGAGGAUCUCAAAAGUGAGGGGGAGCAGCAAACGCCUUGUCUCAAGACCCUUUUUCAGGACCUGAGGGAAUGGUGCUUCUACUGCAGCAGUGCAGCAAAAACUUGCAUGCAAGGUACCAACUUCCACAGCUCUACCUUUGCUGCUGC
rnacentral:lncRNA from 1 species